rnacentral:rRNA from 1 species
AUCGAACGCUGGCGGCAGGCCUAACACAUGCAAGUCGAACGAGUGGCGGACGGGUGAGUAAUGCCUGGGAAACUGCCUGAUGGAGGGGGUUAACUACUGGAAACGGUAGCUAAUACCGCAUACCAUCGGAUGUGCCCAGAUGGGAUUAGCUUGUAGGUGGGGUAAAGGCUCACCUAGGCGACGAUCCCUAGCUGGUCUGAGAGGAUGACCAGCCCGGCGGGAGCUGAGCCACGGUCCAGACUCCUACGGGAGGCAGCGGUGGGGGAUAUUGCACAAUGGGCGCAAGCCGGAUGCAACCAUGCCGCGUGUAUGGAGAGGGCCUUCGGGUUGGAGAGUACUUUCAGCGGGGAGGCGUUACCCGCAGAAGAAGCACCGGCUAACUCCGUGCCAGCAGCCGCGGUAAUUC